GUGCCGCCCACUCCUAAGGUUGUCCAACUUUCUGUGGUGCUCUCCUACUAUUACACACGUUCUGACUGGGGAUCCUCUCUCAUCUUCCUCUUGCUUCGGAAGGAAGAGUGUAAAACAUUGAGCCAAAGCACAUCAAGAA
ensembl:ncRNA F21C10.15 ncRNA